UAAAUCAGUUAUCGUUUAUUUGAUAGUACCUUACCACUUGGAUAACCGUGGUAAUUCUAGAGCUAAUACAUGCUAAAAACCCCGACUUCGGAAGGGGUGUGUUUAUUAGAUAAAAAACCAAUGCCCUUCGGGGCUCUUUGGUGAUUCAUGAUAACCUAACGGAUCGCAUGGCCUUGCGCCGGCGACGGUUCAUUCAAAUUUCUGCCCUAUCAACUUUCGAUGGUAAGGUAUUGGCUUACCAUGGUUUCAACGGGUAACGGGGAAUUAGGGUUCGAUUCCGGAGAGGGAGCCUGAGAAACGGCUACCACAUCCAAGGAAGGCAGCAGGCGCGCAAAUUACCCAAUCCCGACACGGGGAGGUAGUGACAAUAAAUACUGAUAUAGGGCUCUUUUGGGUCUUGUAAUUGGAAUGAGUACAAUUUAAACCCCUUAACGAGGAACAAUUGGAGGGCAAGUCUGGUGCCAGCAGCCGCGGUAAUUCCAGCUCCAAUAGCGUAUAUUAAAGUUGUUGCAGUUAAAAAGCUCGUAGUUGAAACUUGGGUCUGGCUAGCGGGUCCGCCUCACCGCGUGCACUUGUCCGGCUGGACCUUUCCUUCUGGAGAACCUCAUGCCCUUCACUGGGUGUGUUGGGGAACCAGGACUUUUACUUUGAAAAAAUUAGAGUGUUCAAAGCAGGCCUUUGCUCGAAUACGUUAGCAUGGAAUAAUAGAAUAGGACGUGCGGUCCUAUUUUGUUGGUUUCUAGGAUCGCCGUAAUGAUUAAUAGGGAUAGUCGGGGGCAUCAGUAUUCAAUUGUCAGAGGUGAAAUUCUUGGAUUUAUUGAAGACUAACUACUGCGAAAGCAUUUGCCAAGGAUGUUUUCAUUAAUCAGUGAACGAAAGUUAGGGGAUCGAAGACGAUCAGAUACCGUCGUAGUCUUAACCGUAAACUAUGCCGACUAGGGAUCGGGCGAUGUUUCUAUCUUGACUCGCUCGGCACCUUACGAG
rnacentral:rRNA from 1 species